AUUGAACGCUGGCGGCAGGCUUAACACAUGCAAGUCGAACGAGUGGCGGACGGGUGAGUAAUGCUUGGGCAACUUGCCUAUGGAGGGGGAUCACUACGUGAAACUGUCGCCAAUACCGCCUACCAUAGGAUGAGCCCAAGUGGGAUUAGGUAGUUGGGGUGUUAAAGGCUCACAAAGCCGACGAUCGCUAGCUGGUCUGAGAGGAUGACAACCCACACUGGGACGGGGAAACGGCCCAGACUCCUCCGGGAGGAAGCAGGGGGGAAUAUUCCGCAAUGGGGGCAACCUGACGCAGCCAUGCCGCGUGAAGGAAGAAGGCCUUCGGGUUGUAAAGUUCUUUCGGUAGGGAGGCGGUAACUACAGAAGAAGCAACGGCUAACUCCGUGCCAGCAGCCGCGGUAAUUC
rnacentral:rRNA from 1 species